rnacentral:snRNA from 1 species
UAUAUGAAAGAAGCUUAACU